rnacentral:rRNA from 1 species
UACAGGGGGGGCAAGCGUUGUUCGGAAUUACUGGGCGUAAAGGGCCCGUAGGCGGCCAACUAAGUCCGACGUGAAAUCCCCAGGCUUAACCUGGGAACUGCGUCGGAUACUGGAUGGCUUGAAUCCGGGAGAGGGAUGCGGAAUUCCAGGUGUAGCGGUGAAAUGCGUAGAUAUCUGGAGGAACACCGGUGGCGAAGGCGGCAUCCUGGACCGGCAUUGACGCUGAGGAGCGAAAGCCAGGGGAGCAAACGGG